rnacentral:rRNA from 1 species
AAUAAAUUGUCCUUUAAUUUAGGACUUGAAUGAAUGAUUUGACUAUAAAUUCUCUGUCUUAUUUCGACUUAAGAAAUUAAUUUUUAGUAAAAAUUCUAAAAUAAAAUUAAAAGACGAAAAGACCCUAUAAAAUUUUACUUAAUUAGUAGGAUUAGAUUAGUUUUUCUAGAGGACUUUGUAUAAGUUUAAUUGGGGAGAUUUUCAUAAAAAAAAUAAAACUGUAAAAUUUAAGACCAUCUACAAAUGUAAUAAACGACCUUUUAAGACUAAAAUCACUGGAUCAAAUUACUUUA